rnacentral:rRNA from 1 species
AGGAUGAACGCUGGCGGCGUGCCUAAUACAUGCAAGUCGAGCGGUAAGGCUCCUACUCUGUGUUCAACUUGUUUGAAUAUAGUGUUGGAGUACACGAGCGGCGGACGGCUGAGUAACACGUAGGAACGUACCCCAAAGUGAGGCAUAAGCACCAGAAAUGGUGUCUAAUACCGCAUAUGGUCUUCGGAUUAAAGCUUCGGCGCUUUGGGAACGGCCUGCGCAUGAUUAGCUUGUUGGUGAGGUAAUAGCUCACCAAGGCGACGAUCAUUAGCUGGUCUGAGAGGAUGACCAGCCAGACUGGGACUGAGAACGGCCCAGACUCCUACGGGAGGCAGCAGUAGGGAAUUUUCCACAAUGGGCGAAAGCCUGAUGGAGCAACGCCGCGUGCAGGAUGAAUGCCUUCGGGUUGUAAACUGUCUUUUAUAUGUGACGAUUAUGACGGUAGCAUAUGAAUAAGGAUCGGCUAACUCCGUG